rnacentral:rRNA from 1 species
CGGAUGGGGAUAGCCAGUAGAAAUAUUGGAUAAUACCGAAUACGAUUUCAUAUCUUAGAAGUAUGAAAUGAAAAGAGCUAUGGCUCUGCCGAUAGAACGGACCUGCGUAAUAUCAGCUUGUUGGUGAGGUAACGGCUCACCAAGGGCUAUGACAUUUAUCCGGCCUGAGAGGGUGAUCGGACACAUUGGGACUGAGAUACGGCCCAGACUCCUACGGGAGGCAGCAGCUAAGAAUAUUCCGCAAUGGACGAAAGUCUGACGGAGCGACACCGCGUGGAUGAUGAAGGCCCGGAAGGUUGUAAAAAUCCUUUUGUGUAUGAGGAAUAAGUAUCGUUAGGGAAUGACGGUAUGGUGACUGUAGUACAUGAAUAAGCAACGGCUAAUUACGUG